rnacentral:rRNA from 1 species
UACGUAGGGGGCAAGCGUUAUCCGGAUUUACUGGGUGUAAAGGGAGCGCAGGCGGCGCGUUAAGUCUGAUGUGAAAACCCGCGGCUCAACUGCGGGACUGCAUUGGAAACUGUGUGACUGGAGUGCAGGAGAGGUAAGCGGAAUUCCUGGUGUAGCGGUGAAAUGCGUAGAUAUCAGGAGGAACACCAGUGGCGAAGGCGGCUUACUGGACUGUAACUGACGUUGAGGCUCGAAAGCGUGGGGAGCAAACAGG